AGCCCAUCCACGCUCGGCUGCCUGACGGCAGCGAUGCGGACAUUGGCCCUCCGARCCGCGAGGUGCGGUGGGCCUAAGUGUGCGGCCGUCGUACGUGGCCGGGAGCGGCGAGUGGUGGGCUACUGCGCGCGYCGCCCCGAGCUCCGUACCGACACGGGGCCYUGUUCGACCCCCURRCGAUGAGCRGCCGCCGCGGCUUGCGCCGCGCGUCGCCAUCGGAC
rnacentral:misc_RNA from 1 species